UACGAAGGGAGCUAGCGUUGUUCGGAAUCACUGGGCGUAAAGCGCACGUAGGCGGAUGUGUCAGUCAGGGGUGAAAUCCCGGAGCUCAACUUCGGAACUGCCCUUGAUACAGCACGUCUUGAGUCCGGAAGAGGUGAGUGGAAUUCCUAGUGUAGAGGUGAAAUUCGUAGAUAUUAGGAAGAACACCGGUGGCGAAGGCGGCCCACUGGUCCGGUACUGACGCUGAGGUGCGAAAGCGUGGGGAGCAAACAGG
rnacentral:rRNA from 1 species